rnacentral:rRNA from 1 species
CCUACGGGAGGCAGCAGUGGGGAAUAUUGCACAAUGGGCGCAAGCCUGAUGCAGCGACGCCGCGUGAGGGAUGACGGCCUUCGGGUUGUAAACCUCUUUCAGUAGGGAAGAAGCGUAAGUGACGGUACCUGCAGAAGAAGCGCCGGCUAACUACGUGCCAGCAGCCGCGGUAAUACGUAGGGCGCAAGCGUUAUCCGGAAUUAUUGGGCGUAAAGAGCUCGUAGGCGGUUUGUCGCGUCUGCCGUGAAAGUCCGGGGCUCAACUCCGGAUCUGCGGUGGGUACGGGCAGACUAGAGUGAUGUAGGGGAGACUGGAAUUCCUGGUGUAGCGGUGAAAUGCGCAGAUAUCAGGAGGAACACCGAUGGCGAAGGCAGGUCUCUGGGCAUUAACUGACGCUGAGGAGCGAAAGCAUGGGGAGCGAACAGGAUUAGAUACCCUGGUAGUCCAUGCCGUAAACGUUGGGCACUAGGUGUGGGGGACAUUCCACGUUUUCCGCGCCGUAGCUAACGCAUUAAGUGCCCCGCCUGGGGAGUACGGCCGCAAGGCUAAAACCUUAAUGAAUUGACGGCUGAGACGNGCGAGCGACGACGAGGGAGAGG